rnacentral:lncRNA from 1 species
ACAGUCAGCUCUUACCAUGUCCAUGUGAUCACUGACAGCGGCACAGCAAUACAACACAAAGGCAGAAGUAAAGCUUAUGUCCCUGGAGCCUCUGUGCGGAGAGAGGUUAGCUCAGAAUGGGUCAGCCCAGGUGAGUUGCUGGGGAUUGGUUUUAGUUCAGCCAGAACUAGGCCUGUGUCUUCUGUAAAGCUGUUAGCUGUGGACUAUUAUGCUGGAAGGCUGUUGUGGAAAGUUGUCACCACCACCCUUGAGCAGCUGCUAAGAGCAAGGCACAAGCAUGAAGAGAGGUGAUUAAUGUGUGGGAGGAGGAGUGGAGUGGGGAGAAGUGCUGAAGGCAAGAAGUGUUUCCUGUGGCAUGAAGGGGAAGAUUUCUGCUGAUCUUGCUGAAGUCCUGUGCUGCUGGUUGGGACUCUCCUUAUACCAAGGAGGAGUGCACCGGGGGCAAAGCAUAUCAGGCUUUUUGUGUGACGAGGAUGGUCAGACUGGAAGUUGGAUCUAUUUUUUCUCCUUCUUACUGCUGGAUUUCCUUUUUCCUUCUGCAUUCUGCCCUGCUGCCCACAGCAGUUUGUAAUAGUUUGAUAAGGAACAUAGGCCUGUAAGAGUUUACUCCCUUAAACGUAGGCUUAGCAAUUGGUUAACUGGCUUGUUGCAGCAGAUGCAUGGCUACGGAGCCUCAGUGAAUCUCUUUCUUGGCUUUUAUCUAUCUAUCCAUCUAUCUAUCUAUCUAUCUAUUUUAUUUAACAGCUUGUCCCUUCAGAUAGUCUCAAUUAAUGUCUUAUCUCAUAAAAUACUAAGUACUAGCAAUCCCAGCAGAUGAGAGCAGGGCUUCUGCAGUCAGAAGCUCUUUUCCUCAAGUCAGAGGAAAUCCUUCAGAACCCAGCGAUAUGGACCCAGGUUUAAUGUCUAAAGUUCAGAAAAUCUGGGAAACCAACAAAGCAAGAGUGAAAUGAAUGCAGCCUGUGGUAGCGUACCAUCAAAAUUUAAGCCCGUAAUGUACAACAUUUUCCUUCUUUCAUUUGUCGGCUUUACAAGAGCUAACACAGCAUUUUCAAGGUUCACAAGGGGGCUUUUCUCCCUCUAGGCUAUUAGCUGCAGUAACAACUUAUUAAGAAAGUUAGAUUUUUCUCCCAGAUGGGGGAAAAAGAGGUCUCCAGAGGGAGAGGAAGAUGAAAAAGCUGAACAUUUUGUUUAAACAACUUAACAAUACAGUGCCAGAGG